rnacentral:rRNA from 1 species
CAGAGCAGUACCGUCAACUAAAACUUAAAGAACUUGGCGGUUUUCUAGAUCUCCUUGGAGGAGCUUGUCAUCGAAUUGAUAACCCACAAGACACCUCACCAACUCAAGAUUUAUCAGCUUGUAUACCAUCGUCGUCAGCUCACAUCAAAAGAGAGUAAGCCAAAUGGAAAAUACCCACAACGUCAGAUCAAGGUGCAGCUAAUGAGCUGGGGAUAGAUGAGCUACUUUAUUCACAAAACAGAGGAAGUAACCA